GAAGGGAGAUCCCACUCAGGUCAAUUUCGGGGUACUUAGCCGACACCCUUGUCAGGCCUUCCUCGAAGCCUAAGAUAAAGGAGUCGGACCCCGCGUCCGACAUGUCACGGACGAACUCGUCAGACUGACGAUAGGCCUGUACUGCCUCCGACAUAUCACGGGUGAACUCGACGGACUGACGAUAAGCCUGUACCGCCUGACGCCCGAUUUCCGCACUCUUCUCGGCCAGCGCCGCCUCUGCCCGCUCCAUAAUCUGAGCUUUCGCCUCCAAGACCUUCGCCACAAUCCGGUCGUCCGCCUCGGAGGAGACCCUUAGCAGAUCAGCCUGAGCCUCUUUGUGCUUCGCCUCGGCAGCAAUGCGAGCAGCCUCAGCCUCC
rnacentral:lncRNA from 1 species